UUGUGAUAUGCGGGGUGUCAGCGGUACCUUGUUUCCCGAAAUCCGCUUUAUGCGGGGCAGAAUUCCCUCCUAAGGGUUGAAUGCGGGGUGAUAAGUUAUUCUGACCGGUCGCCGCGCAACAGACGAUUACGAACCUCGUCAGAUCCGGAAGGAAGCAGCGAUAAGUAACUCAGUCUGUGUCGUGGAUCGAUCCCGGUUAUGUUAUAAUUUAUUUCCCGUACAUAUUCGACGGGGGGUUCACAA
rnacentral:SRP_RNA from 1 species